AGCGAACGCUGGCGGCAGGCCUAACACAUGCAAGUCGAACGGAUCCUUCGGGAUUAGUGGCGGACGGGUGAGUAACACGUGGGAACGUGCCCUUUGGUUCGGAACAACUCAGGGAAACUUGAGCUAAUACCGGAUGUGCCCUUCGGGGGAAAGAUUUAUCGCCAUUGGAGCGGCCCGCGUAGGAUUAGCUAGUUGGUGGGGUAAAGGCCCACCAAGGCUACGAUCCUUAGCUGGUCUGAGAGGAUGAUCAGCCACAUUGGGACUGAGACACGGCCCAAACUCCUACGGGAGGCAGCAGUGGGGAAUCUUGCGCAAUGGGCGAAAGCCUGACGCGGCCAUGCCGCGUGAAUGAUGAAGGCCUUAGGAUUGUAAAAUUCUUUCACCGGGGACGAUAAUGACGGUACCCGGAGAAGAAGCCCCGGCUAACUUCGUGCCAGCCGCCGCCGUAA
rnacentral:rRNA from 1 species